UACGUAGGGUGCAAGCGUUGUCCGGAAUUAUUGGGCGUAAAGAGCUCGUAGGCGGUUUGUCGCGUCUGCUGUGAAAACUCGGGGCUUAACUCCGGGCCUGCAGUGGGUACGGGGCAGACUAGAGUGCGGUAGGGGAGACUGGAUUCCUGGUGUAGCGGUGAAAUGCGCAGAUAUCAGGAGGAACACCGGUGGCGAAGGCGGGUCUCUGGGCCGUAACUGACGCUGAGGAGCGAAAGCGUGGGGAGCGAACAGG
rnacentral:rRNA from 1 species